CAGACCAUCUAGUCUACUAUAUAUAAGUGAGUAAGAUGGACGAACACUGCACAUAGAAGUGAUACAAAAUGCUAUUGUGAAUUGUACUCCACUCAGUCAGAAAGACACACCUCUCAAUCACACGUAUAUUCCACUCAGAAAGAUUCACCCACUUUUUUUACACAGUUAUGCUGCUUGCUCAUCUCUCUUGAACCUUCUUACCUAUUUUCAAUUUUCUUCGAAUUCCUUCUGCAUCUUUGUGGUCUUCACUAAAUUUCUCUCAAAGCUUUUCUAUUUUGUGUAUUUCUUCAAAGAUUCUCCCUUUUGGCUUAUUUUUUAUCGUUUCGGUUCGAAGUUCUGGCAAGUUUUUUGUCUAAUUAAUCAUUUGCUUUUAUUGCACUUAUUUGAUGGUAGAUUUUUGCUAGAUUUACAUAUGUCAAUAAUUUUAUCUAACCGGCACAUGCAUAUCUUUUAAUGUUUAUUCAUUUCUGAAAUUACGAUUCUCUUUCUCCUUCAGUGCUUUGAAGCAUCAAAUUUGUCGCUAGAAGAUUAAGUCUUGACAAUACGAGUAAGCACACUUCAGUAUCGGAUAGAGAAACUGGUUGUGGUGUGUUAUUCCUAAACGUGUUGUACAGUUAGCCACUUUAGCGCAACCAGGAGUGGAUCGGAGAUGGCGGAUGUUGCUCAACCCUGCAAUUACAAGACUUGGAUGUUUCUAAAUCAAUCAAUUACAAGACUCCAUUCUACAACCAAGAUACUCCUUCCCAUUAUACCAAUUGAUCUUACACAUCGAUGUGCUUGAAGAUAUGGAGAGUCUUCCAUGUUAACUUUUUUGGUACCAAACAAUCGGCCAUGGCCACAAUGUUGUAAUUCAAGGUCCAACUCGUUUGCAUGUCCUGUAGUGUAUGUUUGAUAUUUGGCAAUUCUUUUGUAGAACACAACUCGAUCGGAACUAAUUCUUAUGACCUAAUUGCGUAUGUGCAGAAGAUGCAUGUUCUGCACAUGUUAUACUGGAAGGUUCUUUUGUUUCCUGUUUUGAUUUCAAUUUGAAUGAUGUCUAUGUUGCACAUUA